ACAUUAAAAUGUAGUAAUGGUUAAUAAUCAAUUUACAAUUAGUUAAGCCAUUACUUAAACCAUUUAACAAUGUUUAUUAUUGUAAGUAAUGUUAAUUCUGGCCCUUAUUUUAUUAGUAGCUUAUACUGCAGCUAAAAACACUGAUACUGAGCCUAGCUUUAUUCUUAUUCCGAUUAAGCUUUAUUCUUAUUAUUUAUAUCCUUAUCUUAAAUGUUAUGUUUACUUUUCUUUAUGUUUUAUUCUAUACUGACUGUAAUUCUGUGUGUUCCAGGUGAACUGGGUGAGCAGCAGUGGGGAGUGACUUACACUACUGAUAGUGUGUGUGCUCUGGAAGGUUCAUCAGUUGAUCUCUCCUGCUCUUAUAAACAGCCUGGAGGACUCACAGUGACUGAAUCAUUCUGGUUCAUUAAUGAGCAGCGUGGAGUUGAGCCUGAAGAUCUGCGAGAUGAUGAUCAGUAUAAGGGGAGAGUGCAGUAUUACCAGACCCAGAACCAGAACCAGCUCUACCACACAGUGAGAAUCGCUGGUCUGAAAGCAAGCGAUUCUCAGACAUAUAAGUUCAGAUUCAUCACUGAUGAUCCUGGUGGUAAAUACACUGGCAGAUCUGGAGUCAGUCUGUCUGUCACAGGUAGUUCUGAAUCAAAUAAAACAAGUUUAUUUAACUAUGAGAGAUUUCUACAGAUGAAAAUCAGACUAAAUCAUGUUUAAAAUCACCUGCAGGUAUGAAUACUGAAGUAUCAGACACACAGGAAGGAGGAAAGCAGCUGACCUGUAGCUCCACCUGCGUUCUGACUAACCCCACCUACAUCUGGUACAGGAACGGACAGCCUGUAUCUGAGCAGAACAGAGCUGUACUGUAUCUGAGGGACCGCACUGUGGAUGCAGGUAGCUACUCCUGUGCUGUGAAAGAACACGAGGAGAUCCGCUCUGCUGCUGUCUGUGGGUUUGAAGGUCUGCAGGUGAAAGUGGAAGGUGCUGCAGCUGCUCCUGCAGAAGGACAGACAGUAACACUGACCUGCAGCUCGAUGUGCUCUCAGUUCUACUCCAACUACAUCUGGUACAGGAACAGACAGCCUGUAUCUGAGCAGAACAGAGCUGUACUGUAUCUGAGGGACCGCACUGUGGAUGCAGGCAGCUACUCCUGUGCUGUGAAAGAACACGAGGAGAUCCGCUCUGCUGCUGUCUGUAAGACUUUUUUUUUUGAGAGAGAGUCCUGUACAGCUCCUUAAACACCACACUGAGCUCUACCAUUCAUGAGAGCAGGUUAUUGAAAAUAUACACUGUAUUACCAAAAGUAUUCACUCACCCAUACAAGCCAAUGAACGCAGGUUUCAAUCAUUUCCAUGGCCACAGGUGGAGCUAUAAAACCGAGCACCUAGUUAUGCAGACUGCUUCUACAAACAUUAGUGAAAGAAUGGUUCGGUCUCAGUAGCUCAGUGAACUCUAGUGUGGUACUGUGAUAGAAUGCAGCGCCUGUGCAAUAAGUCCAGUCGUGAAAUUUCACUACUAAGUACUAAAUAUUCCACAGCCAACUGUCAGUGAUAUUAUAUUACGACAGCAACUCGCUCUAUCAGGGUAAAAUAACAGAGUGGGGUCAGAAGGCUUAGAUAUGGAGUCUAUUGACAUGAAUAAGCUGCACUGUACUCCUGGUUAAGUUUUACUGAAAACUGAAUUAAUUCAACCUAAAACUUUGUUACAAUUUAAGUUAAUUUGUUAUAUCAAUUGUUUUGCACAAUAAUUCUAUUCUCUAUUAUCCUAUAGAAUUCUUGAAUUGUCAUGCGGGCCAAACCAAAGACAGACAAAUGCAGAUACCAAUUUAACAAUUUAUGAACACAGGGGUAGUCAGAGAGAGGCAGGGUCCGUAGCGAAAUGGCCUGCUACGGUGUUUUUACAUUGAGUUCACAUUGUAUUAGCAAAACCAUGGCAACCACAUCUGAUACCGUAGUAUUUGGACAAGCAUAAAUAUCUAAGCAAACAAAAAUGGUAAAAAUUUACAAUAAACAAAUAACAGUAUUAUACCUGUAAUAAACA
rnacentral:lncRNA from 1 species